UCAAACUUGGUCAUUUAGAGGAAGUAAAAGUCGUAACAAGGUUUCCGUAGGUGAACCUGCGGAAGGAUCAUUAUUGAAAAGCUUUGGGGAUACUGUUGCUGGUCUUUUAACAAGGCAUGUGCACGUAUCUCUAAUCCUAUUCAUCCACCUGUGCACUUUUUGUAGGAGUUCCAAGUAGGAUUGGCUUGUAUAGUCGAUUUGAAAGGCCUUCUAUGUUUUUACAAACCAUAUUAUAGUAUGUUUAGAAUGUUCUUUUAUUGGGACUUCAUUGGCCCUUUAAAAUCUAUACAACUUUCAGCAACGGAUCUCUUGGCUCUCCCAUCGAUGAAGAACGCAGC
rnacentral:misc_RNA from 1 species